rnacentral:rRNA from 1 species
GUCUCUCUUGAGUGGAUCCUGAGUACGACGGAGCACGUGAAAUUCCGUCGGAAUCUGGGAGGACCAUCUCCUAAGGCUAAAUACUCUCUAGUGACCGAUAGUGAACCAGUACCGUGAGGGAAAGGUGAAAAGCACCCCGGAAGGGGAGUGAAAUAGAACCUGAAACCGUGUGCUUACAAGUAGUCAGAGCCCGUUAAUGGGUGAUGGCGUGCCUUUUGUAGAAUGAACCGGCGAGUUACGAUUUGAUGCAAGGUUAAGCAGUAAAUGUGGAGCCGUAGCGAAAGCGAGUCUGAAUAGGGCGUUUAGUAUUUGGUCGUAGACCCGAAACCAGGUGAUCUACCCUUGGUCAGGUUGAAGUUCAGGUAACACUGAAUGGAGGACCGAACCGACUUACGUUGAAAAGUGAGCGGAUGAACUGAGGGUAGCGGAGAAAUUCCAAUCGAACCUGGAGAUAGCUGGUUCUCUCCGAAAUAGCUUUAGGGCUAGCCUCAAGUGAUGAUUAUUGGAGGUAGAGCACUGUUUGGACGAGGGGCCCCUCUCGGGUUACCGAAUUCAGACAAACUCCGAAUGCCAAUUAAUUUAACUUGGGAGUCAGAACAUGGGUGAUAAGGUCCGUGUUCGAAAGGGAAACAGCCCAGACCACCAGCUAAGGUCCCAAAAUAUAUGUUAAGUGGAAAAGGAUGUGGCGUUGCCCAGACAACUAGGAUGUUGGCUUAGAAGCAGCCAUCAUUUAAAGAGUGCGUAAUAGCUCACUAGUCGAGUGACACUGCGCCGAAAAUGUACCGGGGCUAAACAUAUUACCGAAGCUGUGGAUUGUCCUUUGGACAAUGGUAGGAGAGCGUUCUAAGGGCGUUGAAGCAUGAUCGUAAGGACAUGUGGAGCGCUUAGAAGUGAGAAUGCCGGUGUGAGUAGCGAAAGACGGGUGAGAAUCCCGUCCACCGAUUGACUAAGGUUUCCAGAGGAAGGCUCGUCCGCUCUGGGUUAGUCGGGUCCUAAGCUGAGGCCGACAGGCGUAGGCGAUGGAUAACAGGUUGAUAUUCCUGUACCACCUAUAAUCGUUUUAAUCGAUGGGGGGACGCAGUAGGAUAGGCGAAGCGUGCGAUUGGAUUGCACGUCUAAGCAGUAAGGCUGAGUAUUAGGCAAAUCCGGUACUCGUUAAGGCUGAGCUGUGAUGGGGAGAAGACAUUGUGUCUUCGAGUCGUUGAUUUCACACUGCCGAGAAAAGCCUCUAGAUAGAAAAUAGGUGCCCGUACCGCAAACCGACACAGGUAGUCAAGAUGAGAAUUCUAAGGUGAGCGAGCGAACUCUCGUUAAGGAACUCGGCAAAAUGACCCCGUAACUUCGGGAGAAGGGGUGCUCUUUAGGGUUAACGCCCAGAAGAGCCGCAGUGAAUAGGCCCAAGCGACUGUUUAUCAAAAACACAGGUCUCUGCUAAACCGUAAGGUGAUGUAUAGGGGCUGACGCCUGCCCGGUGCUGGAAGGUUAAGAGGAGUGGUUAGCUUCUGCGAAGCUACGAAUCGAAGCCCCAGUAAACGGCGGCCGUAACUAUAACGGUCCUAAGGUAGCGAAAUUCCUUGUCGGGUAAGUUCCGACCCGCACGAAAGGCGUAACGAUUUGGGCACUGUCUCAACGAGAGACUCGGUGAAAUCAUAGUACCUGUGAAGAUGCAGGUUACCCGCGACAGGACGGAAAGACCCCGUGGAGCUUUACUGUAGCCUGAUAUUGAAAUUCGGCACAGCUUGUACAGGAUAGGUAGGAGCCUUUGAAACGUGAGCGCUAGCUUACGUGGAGGCGCUGGUGGGAUACUACCCUAGCUGUGUUGGCUUUCUAACCCGCACCACUUAUCGUGGUGGGAGACAGUGUCAGGCGGGCAGUUUGACUGGGGCGGUCGCCUCCUAAAAGGUAACGGAGGCGCUCAAAGGUUCCCUCAGAAUGGUUGGAAAUCAUUCAUAGAGUGUAAAGGCAUAAGGGAGCUUGACUGCGAGACCUACAAGUCGAGCAGGGUCGAAAGACGGACUUAGUGAUCCGGUGGUUCCGCAUGGAAGGGCCAUCGCUCAACGGAUAAAAGCUACCCCGGGGAUAACAGGCUUAUCUCCCCCAAGAGUUCACAUCGACGGGGAGGUUUGGCACCUCGAUGUCGGCUCAUCGCAUCCUGGGGCUGUAGUCGGUCCCAAGGGUUGGGCUGUUCGCCCAUUAAAGCGGUACGCGAGCUGGGUUCAGAACGUCGUGAGACAGUUCGGUCCCUAUCCGUCGUGGGCGUAGGAAAUUUGAGAGGAGCUGUCCUUAGUACGAGAGGACCGGGAUGGACAUACCUCUGGUGUACCAGUUGUCGUGCCAAC